GACGUAGGGGGCGAGCGUUGUCCGGAUUUAUUGGGCGUAAAGAGCGUGUAGGCGGCCAGGUAGGUCUGCUGUGAAAACUCGAGGCUCAACCUCGAGACGUCGGCGGAAACCAUCUGGCUAGAGUCCGGAAGAGGAGAGUGGAAUUCCUGGUGUAGCGGUGAAAUGCGCAGAUAUCAGGAGGAACACCAAUAGCGAAGGCAGCUCGCUGGGACGGUACUGACGCUAAGGCGCGAAAGCGUGGGGAGCGAACAGG
rnacentral:rRNA from 1 species